GAUGAACGCUGGCGGCGUGCUUAACACAUGCAAGUCGAACGAAGAUGCCGGAGUGCUUGCACUUUGGCAGACUGAGUGGCGGACGGGUGAGUAACGCGUGGGUAACCUGCCUUAUACAGGGGGAUAACAGUUGGAAACGACUGCUAAUACCGCAUAAGCGCACGGUAUCGCAUGAUACAGUGUGAAAAACUCCGGUGGUAUAAGAUGGACCCGCGUCUGAUUAGCUUGUUGGUGAGGUAACGGCCCACCAAGGCGACGAUCAGUAGCCGGCCUGAGAGGGUGAACGGCCACAUUGGGACUGAGACACGGCCCAAACUCCUACGGGAGGCAGCAGUGGGGAAUAUUGCACAAUGGAGGAAACUCUGAUGCAGCGACGCCGCGUGAGUGAAGAAGUAGUUCGCUAUGUAAAGCUCUAUCAGCAGGGAAGAUAGUGACGGUACCUGACUAAGAAGCUCCGGCUAAAUACGUGCCAGCAG
rnacentral:rRNA from 1 species